UACCUGCAGCUCGAGUGGUAACCGCUAUUAUUGGGCCUAAAGCGUCCGUAGCCGGUUUGGUAAAUAUCUGGGUAAAUCGUGAGGCUUAACUUCACGAAUUUCGGAUAGACUGCCAGACUUGGGAUCGGGGGAGGUCAGAGGUACCCCAGGGGUAGCGGUGAAAUGUUGUAAUCCUUGGAGGACCACCGGUAGCGAAGGCGUCUGACUAGAACGAGUCCGACGGUGAGGGACGAAGCCCUGGGGCGCAAACCGGAUUAGAUACCCGGGUAGUCCAGGGUGUAAACUAUGUGGGCUUUGUAUUGGAGGUCCCACGUGGGCGUCCAGUGCAGAAGAGAAGUUGUUAAGCCCACCGCCUGGGAAGUACGGUCGCAAGGCUGAAACUUAAAGGAAUUGGCGGGGGAGCACAGCAACGGGAGGAGCGUGCGGUUU
rnacentral:rRNA from 1 species